rnacentral:rRNA from 1 species
UGAGGAAUAUUGGUCAAUGGGCGAGAGCCUGAACCAGCCAAGUAGCGUGCAGGAUGACGGCCCUAUGGGUUGUAAACUGCUUUUACAGGGGGAUAAAGUGAGUGACGUGUCAUUCAUUGCAGGUACCCUGCGAAUAAGGACCGGCUAAUUCCGUG